rnacentral:rRNA from 1 species
UACGUAGGGUGCGAGCGUUGUCCGGAAUUAUUGGGCGUAAAGAGCUUGUAGGCGGUUUGUCGCGUCUGCCGUGAAAAUCCGAGGCUCAACCUCGGACUUGCGGUGGGUACGGGGCAGACUAGAGUGUGGUAGGGGAGACUGGAAUUCCUGGUGUAGCGGUGAAAUGCGCAGAUAUCAGGAGGAACACCGAUGGCGAAGGCAGGUCUCUGGGCCGAUAUCGACGCUGAGGAGCGAAAGCGUGGGGAGCGAACAGG